GUGGUCUGCUGCCUUGUCCCCAUGUUGAUACUGAGUAGAGUCUGAAGCACUUUAUCUAAUCAGGAACACUCACUCCAUCUCUGUGCCCACAUGGCACCUGGUCCAGCAACGAAGGGAAUAAGAAUCUGUGGGGAUGCCAGCCUUGUCCUGGAGGACAUUACUGCAAUAGCACUGGACUAGUAGCACCAUCAGGACACUGCAGCCCAGGGUUUUACUGCAUUGCUGGGGCCAGAACACCGACACCCACUGAUGGCCUCUCAGGAGCUCCAUGCCCCAUGGGACACUCCUGUCCCCUGGGAACCAAGAAUCCCAUCCCGUGCUCCCCUGGCACUUACAUGCCACAGACACAUGGAGAAGAGUGCUACACCUGCCCAGAGGGUAAAUACUGUGUCCCUCCUCAGAAGCCACAAUUUUGUCCUAAAGGCUUCUUCUGUCCCAAAGGAACCGGUCUUGACUGGCAGCCUUGCCCACCAGGGACCUACAGCCCCGAGCAAGGGCUGGAGAGCAGCACUGGGUGCAGAGCUUGUGAUGGAGGGAAGUACUGUCUGUACCGUAAUGCAACAGAAGUGACUGGAGAGUGCUGGGAAGGCUACUACUGUGCACAGGCAUCAGACAGGCCCAACCCAGAGGCCAGGCUCCAAGGUCAGGCUGGCCCUUGUCCUCCAGGCCACUACUGUCCAAAGGGCACUGCUGUCCCCAAGCAUUGUCCUGUGGGUACCUUCAGCACAAGGAUCAAAUUGAGCUCAGAGGACAUUUUUGCCCCAGGGGCACAUCCAUUCCAUUGGCUUGUCCAGCAGGGUCAUAUAACCCUCUACAAAGGCAAGCCAGCUGCCUUCUCUGUGCUAGAGGGUUCUUCUGUCCUAAGAAUUCCUCUUCUCUUGCUGGGAGUGAAUGUCCAGCUGGCCAUUACUGCCCCCCUGGUACAGCUUCAGCGACUCAAUACCCAUGCCCCAGGGGGACUUACAACCCACAGAUCGGCAGCAGUCAUGUUUCUCACUGUAUCCCUUGUGAUCCAGGGUAUUUCUGCAAUGGAACUGGACUCAUAUCUCCUGCUGGUGUCUGUGAAGCUGGGUUCUAUUGCAUCAGAGGAGCUGUUUCUCCUAGACCUUCCAUAA
rnacentral:lncRNA from 1 species